rnacentral:rRNA from 1 species
GCGUCUACCUAUUAAGGCACGCCUGCCCGGUGAUAAUUAAACGGCCGCGGUACCCUAACCGUGCAAAGGUAGCAUAAUCAUUUGUCUAUUAAUUGUAGACCUGUAUGAAAGGCAAAAUGAGAGCCCAACUGUCUCUUAUAAUAGAUCAAUUAAACUGAUCUUUCAGUACAAAAGCUGAAAUACCCCCAUAAGACCAGAAGACCCUGUGAAGCUUUAAUUACCCUAUUAAACCCAAUAAUAGCUAAUUUCGGUUGGGGCGACCUUGGAACAAAAAAGAACUUCCAAAUACAUGACCUAAGUCAUCAAAAAGGCAUACAAGCCACUAUUAGACCCAGUACAGCUGAUAAUUGAACCAAGUUACUCCAGGGAUAACAGCGCCAUCUUCUUCAAGAGCCCAUAUCAAAAAGAAGGUUUACGACCUCGAUGUUGGAUCAGGACAUCCUAGCAAUGCAGCCGUUACUAAGGGUUCGUUUGUUCAACGAUUAACAGUCCUACGUGAUCUGUUUGUGCGGGGAAAGCGGUUUUAAUGAUCAGACUUWUUAUGUACUWCUAMAAUCACWUARAAGAUGMWCMSWUACUYUUCGGRUAGSAGGAUUAGMAUAUGCCACAGYCYUUGUCGAMGARAAUGUAUGUGGSCUCG